UACGGUCACAUUACAUAGAAACACCGGUUCUCUUACGAUCACCAAAGUUAAGCAACGUCGAGCCUGGUCAGUACCUAGAUGCGUGACGCCUUGGGAAUACCAGGUGCUGUAAG